AACUUUUGGCAACGGAUCUCUUGGCUCUCGCAUCGAUGAUGAACGCAGCGAAAUGCGAUACGUAAUGUAAAUUGCAGAAUUCAGUGAAUCAUCGAAUCUUUGAACGCACCUUGCGCCCCUUGGCAUUCCGAGGGGCACACCCGUUUGAGUGUCCUGAAAUUCUCAAAAACCCUUUCUUUUGAUCGGAUUUUUGGACUUGGAGGUUCAAUGCUCGCCUUCAGCUUUUGAAAGCGAGCUCCUCUCAAAUACAUUAGUGGGGUCCGCAUUGCUGGUCCUUGACGUGAUAAGCUGUUUCUACGUUUUGGAUUUGGCACUGUCCCUUUGGAUCCCGCUCCCAACUCGUCCGUCCCACGGACAACGAUGGUGCUCCGGUCACCGCCGUUUACAUCGGCGGGACGCUGGACCCACAAAAACGAACCUUGACCUCAAAUCGGGUGAGACUACCCGCUGAACUUAAGCA
rnacentral:misc_RNA from 1 species